rnacentral:rRNA from 1 species
UACGGAGGGUGCAAGCGUUAAUCGGAAUUACUGGGCGUAAAGCGUGCGUAGGUGGUUUGUUAAGUCUGAUGUGAAAGCCCUGGGCUCAACCUGGGAACGGCAUUGGAAACUGGCUUACUAGAGUGCGGUAGAGGGGUGUGGAAUUCCCGGUGUAGCAGUGAAAUGCGUAGAUAUCGGGAGGAACAUCUGUGGCGAAGGCGACACCCUGGACCAGCACUGACACUGAGGCACGAAAGCGUGGGGAGCAAACAGG